rnacentral:rRNA from 1 species
GAACGAGAAAGCAGGAGCAAUCUUGUGAGUAAAGUGGCGUACGGGUGAGUAACACGUGGAUCAUCUACCCUCUUGUGGGGGAUAACUUUGGGAAACCGAAGCUAAUACCGCAUAAGUCCGAGAGGAGAAAGCAGCAAUGCGCAGGAGGAGGAGUCCGCGGCCGAUUAGCUAGUUGGUAGGGUAAAAGCCUACCAAGGCUACGAUCGGUAGCCGGCCUGAGAGGGCACACGGCCACACUGGCACUGAAACACGGGCCAGACUCCUACGGGAGGCAGCAGUGGGGAAUCUUGCACAAUGGGGGCAACCCUGAUGCAGCGACGCCGCGUGAACGAUGAAGCCCUUCGGGGUGUAAAGUUCUUUCGGCAGGGAAGAUUAUGACGGUACCUGCAGAAGCAGCUGCGGCUAACUACGUG